AUCUUCCAAAAGACAGCGAGAAAGCUGUUUUGAUGGUGUGAGACAGAAUCUGUUCUCUGCAAUAGAAUCUCUUCCCAUUGUGACUUUGUGGGUAUGAUGUGUUGAUAAUGACAAAACAAACAAGGCAACAGCGCUGGGCUGACUCACGUGAAGUUAAGCAUCUUCCUUCUUCUCAGCUGUGGUACCAGGCCCAGGUUGCUACUCAUUGUGAGACAGUAUGCUGGAAUCACAGUGAAAAUCUUUCCUAACAGCUGGGAGAGCCAGUCGCAGCAUGAUGGCCAGCAUGUCAGCUGCGUGCGGAGUGAGGAUGCACUGUGGUGGUGAUGGGAAGCGAGCAGCUCCUGGGGAUGGCUGCAGGGAGCAGGAAUGGUCAGCUGGAUAAGGACCCAUGUUUCCCAAGGGGGUAGCAGCGAUGUGAGUGGCAGGAAGGCAAGCACCACACAGUGCUCCAUCUGGGAUAUGAACAACUGGAUCCGAUUGAGGCCAGAUUCCUAUUAGACCCCAUCUUAACCAAAACUAUUUCUGGAAUGUCUCUUGCUCCAGUGGGUUAUGUAAAGCGACUCCAGCAGCUUUGUGGAGACUCAAAGGCUCUGCUGGAAAAGACCCAUUGGAUCACUCAGGCCAGAGCUAAACUCCUGCCCAUAACCACAGAAUCCAGAUGAUUUUAGGACAGUCUCCUGUUCACCUUUGCUUUAUACUUCUCUUUGCUCCACCAACCAGCCCACUUCUUCCCUUACUCACUGUUGGCUUUCUCUUUGUUCCCUCUUAUGUGGAGCUUCUGACACAUCCCAUCAGGUCAUCUGUAUGGCAGUGCAUCCUGCCCUGCCCUGCUGGCUCCCAGCCUGUGCUGCAUUCAGCUGCUGACCUAGGAUUUAUGUGCACGUAUUUAUCACCUUCCCUUAUAGUUCUGUAUUUGGAAGAAUGUGACUAAACAUAAGAUCACAAACAGAGCAAUUGUGAUGGCAGUGGCAAUUGCUUGCACAGGCUGCUGCUGUUGUGCAGUGUAUCUGAGCCCACGAUUACCUUACAUUGCAUUCAGAGCUGCAUAUUGCCAUUCAGGACAGCUCUCCACUGCCACUGGUCUAAACAACAAGCAAUUUGGCACAUGCCCCAACCAUUCAACAAGAGAAAGAAUGAAUAUUUGGGGAGAUUUCUAAUCAGCUUCCCAGCAUCCUGACAGCUCUCAACUGCUUCAGUCGGCCAUUAGGGUAUGAGAAGGCACAUCUGAGGGCAUGGCCCUGACAUCUAAAAGCUGGGAAGAAAACUCUCUAACUGCAGUGUGGUGUUAGAAAGCAGCAUUCCUUUAUUCCUUGGGAUACAUACCAGGUGACCUGACAAUGCAAGUGUGUGCUCUCAGAAUUCAAGUUCUACAUUUAAACAGCUAAAGCAUUCAGAUGCAAUACUGUGUUAUGCAUAUUCUUUUCCAAAAAUUCCUUAAUAUAUGUUAAUGUCCUUCUGGGCAUGUGUGGUAGGGGCCUAUGGUGGUCUUAGACCACAAACUUUCUCCUCAUUUUUCCAUCAUCAGCUUCAUCACAGUGACUUUUGGCUGAUCCUUAGCUGUUUUUCCCCAGUUUGGCAAAUUUCCAUUGCUUGUUAUGCCAUAAUGAGCAACUUUCUAUCUCAGUGCACAGCAAUAUAUGUGAAAUCUGAGGAACAAGUCCUUGCACCUGGUGGAUGCAAAGAGAAAAGUAAUCUGUUGUGACUCCAGUGCUCCUGUGAAGCAGGAUCAUUGAGAAAAACAAGGCUGUUUUAGAGCUAGCACUUACUGAUUCCCUUUGCUAAACUAAUUUAUGGGUCCUUAGGCUAAUAUACUGAUCCUUAUCUAGUUGAAAAUUGCCAGUGUGUUCAAAGCAGGUAUUUAGGGAGGCAAGCACAAAGCACAGCGUGCUCAUAUAGCACUCAUCUCUGGUGGGAGCCGUGCUCCCAUGUGUGGGUCCCUUUGGACAGCUGGGGAUGGUUAUGGACAUGCAGUAACAGUGGUGAGAUAUAGGGGAGACAGCGGCACAGCAUCAUACAGGCAGCUCCCCAGCUGCCAGAACCACAGCCUGAGCCAUGAGCGUGACAGUGGUGUGUGAAUGCACACACACACAUUGUCUGCUAAGCACAGCUCUUCCCUCCCGUGCAUGUGAGUUGUCACAUACUUUAAUCGCAUGAUCAUGUAUUGUGAUUUCUACUGGCUAAUUGCUUCUUAACACUGAUAUUCACAGAGAGAUUCUCUCCUUUGUUCUUAUUUCACUGAAACUGAGACAAGAAAAUGUCAAGAAAUACCAAAACAAAAGCAAACCUCCUGUAAAUGAAGCAUUUAGGUGGCACUGUUGACAGAAAAAAGAUGGGGAAUGUGCCAUUACGGAUUUAGUGUUGCUGUGAAAUCCCCUUCAUUUCAAGUUGUAGUUCCUGUACUGUUUUCUGUUUGUUUGAUUAAUAUUUUACAAAUUCUGACAGAAAAUGCAUCCUGUAAUGUACAAAAAACAACAUCCACUGUAAUAAGCAGCCUCCUGAGCCUUCUCUGCUGUGCUGUUACUGCAACUGAAUAAAACAGCACUGUCUAAACAUCAAGAGGGAUUUUAUUCUUUUUUUUUGGUUGUUUUCUUUAUUUUAUUUUUUUUUUUUUUUUGCAUGGCAGAGUUAUAUAUGGCAGAGAGUUA